rnacentral:rRNA from 1 species
CAUGGAGGGUGAGAAUCCCGUUCAUGGUUAAUCUUAAGGAUGCUCUACGAUACGUUCUCCAAGAGUCGAGUUGUUUGGGAUUGCAGCUCAAAAUGGGAGGUAAAUUUCUCCUAAGGCUAAAUAUUGGCGAGAGACCGAUAGCGAACAAGUACCGUGAGGGAAAGAUGAAAAGAACUUUGAAAAGAGAGUUAAACAGUACGUGAAAUUGUUGAAAGGGAAACGAUUGAAGUCAGUCAUACUAACGGGAAAUCAACCUCUUGAGUUUGGUCUCGUGGGUUUCGAAGAGUUUAAAAGCCUUCGGAUUUUCGAGAUUGGGCUCUUCUGGUGUACUUUCUCGUACGGUUAGUCAACAUCGGUUUUGAAUGUCAUAAAAUGACUGGAGGAAUGUGGCUUCGAUCUCGUAUUGAAGUGUUAUAACCUUUGGUAGAUGUGAUGUUUGAGACCGAGGAUUGCAACGGAUACCCUUCUGGGCUAUUCGUCUGAUCUCUGAAACGUUGCCUUGAUGUCGAAAGCUUGCUUAUGAUGUUAGGGUAUUACGGUCAAAAGGUUAGAACGGAUUACAUUCGUUAAGGAUGUUGACGUAAUGG